GGCUGGCGUCGCCACCGCCUCCUCGUCCCCGGCCACCGCUGUCGCCGCUGCUGCAAUUCAAGGCGCACACUAUUCCACUUUCCCGCUGGAGGCGCAGAGGAUGCCCCUUGAGCCAGACCUGGAGAAAUAGCCCCAGGGCCCGGCAGGAGGAGCCUUGGUGGCGAGAAAGGAAAUCCAGGCUCCUCUUUCCUUAAAGCCACUGCAGCAGCUGGGAAGGCGCCCACAGAGCGGGCGCGCCAAGCGGGACGCGGGAGUCGCAGAGAGGGACCCGAGGCGCCUGCUGAGCUCCGCUGGCAGAGUUUGCAAGUGGCAGACCCUUCAGAUGUUCGCUUGUGUGUUCUCCACUGCUCAAACCCAGGUGGUCAUUCUGCAACAGCUACAACUUGAGUAAGACCAAAACACAACUCAAGUGGACUUUCUAAAAAGAGAAUAAUUUAUUUUGGCUCACAGACAUCAAAAUUCGCAAGGGAUUGCUUCAGGAGGCAUCCCUGAGUCCUGAUGCCUGACUGGAUGGAGGCCCACCAGCUUCUGUUCCCAUGAGGUAGAAAGGCCAAGCUUGGUAUUCAGCUGGGGAAGAGGCCAGAAACGAGGCCCCCAGUGAAAUAACCCAGAUCCAUUGGCCUGAGGAGCAGAGAAAGAGCAAGAAGUGAACUGCAGCUGCUGGUAACCCUCAGAAACCUUCUCCAAUUGCUAUUCUCACAGUUCUUUCGGAACACUCUGAAGUGAAGAACAAUAUGUAGGAGAAUGGGACCAACUUAUGUGUG
rnacentral:sRNA from 1 species